AGAAGGACACCACAGUCCCAACAGCCAACACAAGGCUAGGUAGAAGGACACCUCAGUCCCAUCAGCCAACAUAAGGCUAGGUAGAAGGACACCUCAGUCCCAACAGCCAACAUAAGGCUAGGUAGAAGGACUCCUCAUUUUAAAUCCCUCAAUAUAAAUAUCCUAAUUUGACUUUAUAUGAUAAAAUAUAAUUUCCUUUUAUUCCACAACACUUCAUGAAGGAACCCAUCAACAAUCCUGUUCACUUCACACUGCACUCAAAAAGGCACAUUUUCUUUCUUAAGUGUUUUUUUUUCAUUCCUAUUCAUCACCUACCUGCAUCUUCAUCAUAGCCUGGUCUCAGAUCAGUUGGUGUUCUAGCCAACUCCAUACAACACAAACAGUUUGGCGUGCAUUGAGGCUGAGUAACAAGGAGCUGGCGUGAUGGCACAUACAGACUGGAACUCAGGCUAUAUUCAGCUCACUCUUUUUUUUCCCCAUCAGGAAAAAAGAAAGUGAAGGACAAACAGGAACAGGAAAUGUCACAGAUCACCAUUAGGUUGAAUGAAUUAUAUCACAGCCAAGAUCUAUUUUAAUGACCAGAGGCCGAGGCACUGGAAACUAAAGGGACUACUUUUUGUAACACAGUAAAUACAAGAUGGCGGCUGAUGUUGCGUAACUGUACAAUAGUGUCUUCUCUGCAGACUGCAGUCAUUACCAAUAUGUAUUUGGGUACUUUUUAUCAAACAUCAUUUUGGUGUUUUUCACUGUAUGAGAAGAUCAAUAAGGAGAAACAGAAACCUACAUUUUGGGAUGACAAGUGUACGAUUGUGAUUUAUUCUCCGAUCUGUCUGUAAUUCCUGCAUUCUCUCAACCCUGUUCUAUUGGUUGCACAGUGACCUAUAUUUCUC
ensembl:lncRNA